rnacentral:rRNA from 1 species
GAUGAACGCUGGCGGCGUGCCUAAUACAUGCAAGUCGAGCGAACAGACGAGGAGCUUGCUCCUCUGACGUUAGCGGCGGACGGGUGAGUAACACGUGGAUAACCUACCUAUAAGACUGGGAUAACUUCGGGAAACCGGAGCUAAUACCGGAUAAUAUAUUGAACCGCAUGGUUCAAUAGUGAAAGACGGUUUUGCUGUCACUUAUAGAUGGAUCCGCGCCGCAUUAGCUAGUUGGUAAGGUAACGGCUUACCAAGGCAACGAUGCGUAGCCGACCUGAGAGGGUGAUCGGCCACACUGGAACUGAGACACGGUCCAGACUCCUACGGGAGGCAGCAGUAGGGAAUCUUCCGCAAUGGGCGAAAGCUUGACGGAGCAACGCCGCGUGAGUGAUGAAGGUCUUCGGAUCGUAAAACUCUGUUAUUAGGGAAGAACAAAUGUGUAAGUAACUAUGCACGUCUUGACGGUACCUAAACAGAAAGCCACGGCUAACUACGUG